UUUUUUUCUCACUUUAUCGAAGAAAAAAACCUUUCCGAGAGUAUCUUCAAUUCCAAAUCUGCAAUUAAUCUCCAAAUCCACUCAACGCGAUGGCUUUCUUUAAGAUUGUUAAUGGGUAAAUAAGUAAAAGUUCUAAUAAGGUUAAUCUCCGCAAUUUUAAUCUCCGCAAUUUUAAUCUCCGCAAUCUCCGCAAUUUUAAAUGGAGAAGGCACUUUAAAUAAGCAAAAUAAAUCACAAUCUUAAAGAAACCAAGACCUCAUAUUCUCCAAUUAAUCAAGAGAGAAGAACUUUGGUUUCUUUACAAACCACGGUUAAUUGAAUCUCUUGUUAUUAUGGACAUCGUAUAUAGAAUGAAUAUGAAUCAGUAAAAAGUUUUCUGAAUGAAUAUAUUUAAAUGGACUCGUUAUUAUGGACACCAAAAAAUUGUUUGUUGAUUUUGUUACAGUUUGCAGAGACCUCCACCUCCAAGACCUUAUGGACAUAGAACUUUUACCAAAUUCCUGAGAUAAUCGAGAUCGAAUUGUUUAAAAAAAUUCGC
rnacentral:sRNA from 1 species